rnacentral:rRNA from 1 species
UGGUCUUGACAUGUCGAGAAUCCCGAAGAGAUUUGGGAGUGCCGCAAGGAACUCGAACACAGGUGCUGCAUGGCUGUCGUCAGCUCGUGUCGUGAGAUGUUGGGUUAAGUCCCGCAACGAGCGCAACCCUUGUCCUUAGUUGCCAGCAUUAAGUUGGGCACUCUAAGGAGACCGCCGGUGACAAACCGGAGGAAGGUGGGGAUGACGUCAAGUCAUCAUGGCCUUUAUGACCAGGGCUACACACGUGCUACAAUGGUAAGUACAGAGGGAAGCCAACUCGCGAGAGGGAGCCAAUCCCAGAAAACUUAUCGUAGUCCGGAUCGGAGUCUGCAACUCGACUCCGUGAAGUCGGAAUCGCUAGUAAUCGCAGAUCAGCAUUGCUGCGGUGAAUACGUUCCCGGGUC